rnacentral:rRNA from 1 species
GACGAACGCUGGCGGCGUGCUUAACACAUGCAAGUCGAACGGUAAGGCCCUUCGGGGUACACGAGUGGCGAACGGGUGAGUAACACGUGGGUGAUCUGCCCUGCACUUCGGGAUAAGCCUGGGAAACUGGGUCUAAUACCGGAUAGGACCACUGCCUGCAUGGGUGGUGGUGGAAAGCUUUUGCGGUGUGGGAUGGGCCCGCGGCCUAUCAGCUUGUUGGUGGGGUGAUGGCCUACCAAGGCGACGACGGGUAGCCGGCCUGAGAGGGUGACCGGCCACACUGGGACUGAGAUACGGCCCAGACUCCUACGGGAGGCAGCAGCGGGGAAUAUUGCACAAUGGGCGCAGGCCUGAUGCAGCGACGCCGCGUGAGGGAUGACGGCCUUCGGGUUGUAAACCUCUUUCAGCACCGACGAAGCGCAAGUGACGGUAGGUGCAGAAGAAGGACCGGCCAACUACGUGCCAGCCGCCGCAGUAA